rnacentral:rRNA from 1 species
CCUGAGAAACCCAAAAGAUCGAAUGAGGAGAUUCAUCGUCAGCUCAUUUUGUAUAUAUAUAUGUUUAUGAUAUGGGUUAUUAACUUGUUAAUAUUGCCUGUACAUUCAUAUAUAUUUAAUUGCAAGAUGUUGUCGGCGUGCACUUCUUCUCUAGUAGAACAUCGCGACCCGUUGGAUGUUGAUUUUUAUGACCUAAGUGGAUAAGUCUUUAAUAUUUUCAUUAGAUUAUAUUAAAGUCCCUUGGUGUUUUCUAAUUAACUGUCCGGCGGUACACAAGAACGGUAUUGAGCCGCAAAAAAAAUUAAUUUUGCGUUUAUACCCGUCGCAAGCGAGGCUAAUUUACUAAUAGUAUGGACUUAGUGCUGUCGUUGGUAUUAGCCAGCUGUUGGUUGUUACGGUGUUCUAAAACAGGCUUAUUAUUACCGGUCAGCGAUGCUAUUGCUUUGGGUACUUUCAGG